rnacentral:rRNA from 1 species
CACGUGGGCGGAUAUUUAAGUCAGGGGUGAAAUCCCAGAGCUCAACUCUGGAACUGCCUUUGAUACUGGGCAUCUUGAGUAUGGAAGAGGUAAGUGGAAUUCCGAGUGUAGAGGUGAGAUUCGUAGAUAUUCGGAGGAACACCAGUGGCGAAGGCGGCUUACUGGUCCAUUACUGACGCUGAGGUGCGAAAGCGUGGGGAGCAAACA